CCAGCAGCUCAACAAUAGUCGGCAAAGAGCAUUUAAAGGCAUUUUGGCUAGUAUCUGACUCUGCGGUGAAACUAAUUUCAGCUGUGGCUGUUUUGAUGGAGUUCUGCAAAGAUACUGCACAAGAGAUCUAGCGGUCCCAGCUUAGACGACAAAGAGUUUGCAAAUACAGUCAUAUUGUUGCAGGGAAACAUGGCAAGAAAGGAUAAGUCCACUAAAGGCUUUAGAUGCCUCCAAAACACAGAGAACCACCUAUUUACAGUGGCUAAAAACUGGACAACUGGUCCUGUGAAAACUGRGCAUGGACAACCUACCUCUGUGUAUGACAUGUGUAGUCCAAUGACAGUCAUCAACAGUGAAUCCUGAAUGCCUCUGUCAUUGCAUUUAACUUCAUUGACAUGUUGUGUCAUAUUAUUAAAUUGGUUUUGUCAGCUUUUUAUUGAAACUUCUCUACUGAAACUGCAACCUGCCUAUGAGCUGAA
rnacentral:lncRNA from 1 species